GAUGAACGCUGGCGGCGUGCCUAAUACAUGCAAGUCGAGCGAACAGACGAGGAGCUUGCUCCUCUGACGUUAGCGGCGGACGGGUGAGUAACACUUGGAUAACCUACCUAUAAGACUGGGAUAACUUCGGGAAACCGGAGCUAAUACCGGAUAAUAUAUUGAACCGCAUGGUUCAAUAGUGAAAGACGGUUUUGCUGUCACUUAUAGAUGGAUCCGCGCCGCAUUAGCUAGUUGGUAAGGUAACGGCUUACCAAGGCAACGAUGCGUAGCCGACCUGAGAGGGUGAUCGGCCACACUGGAACUGAGACACGGUCCAGACUCCUACGGGAGGCAGCAGUAGGGAAUCUUCCGCAAUGGGCGAAAGCCUGACGGAGCAACGCCGCGUGAGUGAUGAAGGUCUUCGGAUCGUAAAACUCUGUUAUUAGGGAAGAACAAAUGUGUAAGUAACUAUGCACGUCUUGACGGUACCUAAUCAGAAAGCCACGGCUAACUACGU
rnacentral:rRNA from 1 species